UACAGAGGUCUCAAGCGUUGUUCGGAAUCACUGGGCGUAAAGGGUGCGUAGGCGGCGCGGUAAGUCGGGUGUGAAAUCUCGGGGCUUAACUCCGAAACUGCAUUCGAUACUGCCGUGCUUGAGGACUGGAGAGGAGACUGGAAUUUACGGUGUAGCGGUGAAAUGCGUAGAUAUCGUAAGGAAGACCAGUGGCGAAGGCGGGUCUCUGGACAGUUCCUGACGCUGAGGCACGAAGGUCAGGGGAGCAAACGGG
rnacentral:rRNA from 1 species